GCCUGCCGCCCCCAUCCCCAGCGCGCAAACCCCCAGGUCGCCACCUGCCUCAUCGCGACGCCGUCCACUUGCCCUUCCUCAUGGCUUCUCCCAGCCAUGGCGAGCGCCUCCUCCCUGCUCCAAGCUCGCUGCAGACUACACAGAGCCGCCAGCCCCCGCCGCCUCCCGUGCAGUACAACGCCGCCCCUGUACAAGGUUCAAAGACCUUGUAGUGAGAAGGAAGGGAGAUGCUAAGGUCCGGCAGCUUCCUCGUUGCCAUCCUGGUCGUGGCUUUGCUGCGGCACACCUCGCACUGCUUCUCCUCGCUGGACUAGUCGACCUGCAAGAGAUCAACUCAAACAAAAAUUACCAAGGUGAAACUAAACUGAAAUAGUGAUGCUUGAUGAAAGCCUUCUGCUGCCUACAAGUUAAGAAAAUCCGAUCCCAAUACCGUGUCUGUGUUUAUGUCAGUAAACAGAUACUCAAAAUACGCCGAAUAUUGAGUUCUUCUUGCAGAGGGGCUGACGCUACUUCUUAUACCAAUAUUUUGAUUCUGCCAUGUAGUUUUUCUCUUUUCUUUUGUGGGGAAAAAACCCCGAAUGGAGUCAUGCAGCAUAACACCACCUUGUAGGUUUUUUUUUAGUUCAUCAUACAGCUCACCUUGUAGGAUUUAGCGCGCCCUACCGCGCGUCCUCCAUCGAACGGUCGAACUUCCUGUCCUCCGGUCCUCCCUCUCCACCACUCUAGGAUCUGAAUCGCCGUCCCAGUCCAACACCAUAGCGUCGGGGUGGUCGAGGGCAAGGCUGCCGGCUUCCUAUUUCCUGUGUAGCUCGUCGCCGCCCCACUACAACUUCCACCGCCAUGCGCAGCCAUCCAACCUAAGGGCCCCGUGGUCGCAUUAGUGUCGGUGUAUCUUACUGUAAAGUGUAAUGGGCCAACAAAUUAUUUCAUGUUUCUGAUCAAGGUUGCUUGCUUGAUCGAAUUUAAAUUAAAUCUGAUCUGCAUGAUGCAUAAUUAAGGCGAACCAUUUUUCCAUGUCAUCAUGUCUCUGCUACCAUGAUUUUUUUAGAAGACUGCUGCCAUGAUUUCAUACACUAGAAUGGUUGAAAAAGUUGUUUCCUAGAUUUUAGUUAUUGGAUUAAAUAUAAAGACUGCAUGUGUAAUCUCCACAUGCAGGAGGCAGUGCCCUUGUGCGUCGAAGAACGACAUUGACCUUCCUGUAGAAUUUGUUGCUUGUUGGCCUAUACGUGUUUUUUAAUGCCUGUGAAGCAUGAGACAACACACACAACAGUUCAGUUCACACUCAGAUCAGUUUCUUAUUUUAUUUCAGUUCAAAUUGAUAGCAAAAGUACUCUUAGACUACAUUACAAGUACUAAUAACUUUCUACGAACACACAUCGGGCUCUACUGCUGCUGCUCGACUCUAAGUCGCUUCAUCUCUAAUUGUUGUUGUGAUGCUAAGGUUUUGAUUUAGAGAAAACAAAGAACGGAAAGGAAAAAGAAAUCACGCUUUUCUAUUGUUGUGAUGUUGUUUUGUUGCCCUCAACUUGUUUGUUAGAAUGCCUACAACAACUGGCAGUGACGAACAUGACAGGCCCCUCCAGACGACCUCCUCUGGUUCGGCCUUUCGUCAAUGGAGAAAAGAAGACUGAUGUGGUGCUCCUGUUGGCUGUACUCUGGAGAAGAGUUAACAGAAAGUUGCAGCAAAGAACAAAAAAGAAGAAAAAAUAUAGGGUUGCAGUUUAAAGAAGUUGGGAAUUAAAAGUUCAAGUUGUGCUAAUUGUCGCCGAACCUCGGGUCGAUUCAUUCCUAAGCUAUGUCUUCAGUCAGCAGCGGAGAUGCCUGCGGGUAUCAAACUUUGUUAACGGGCAGAUAUGAACAAGUUAGCUCCGUGCAUAUCAUCAUUCUGAGAGUCUGACAGAUUUGUGUUGAUUGAAUCCAUGGUGGCAGUAGAACAUUAAGUACCAUGGAGUUUACAGUCAUUGUGAGCAGGAAUACAACAGGUUUCAUCUUGCUUGCUAUUCCGCUCUACUGAAAUCUUGUUACCUGCUGAUUUGCUAUAUUAUAAGUUCUCAUUAUUCAGUUAUUCUUCCAAAUUAAGUGAAGCGACCUCCCAGGAGAGAGAGCGACCGCUGUGCAGCGAUGCAUCUUGCCGCCGUCGUCGCCGCUUGCAUAGUUCUCUGAAUGGAUGGAUGGAUGGGUACAGUUCUCUGAAUGUGAAGGUGUUCACUAAGAUUCUCAACAAAUUUGUACAUACAUACAACCCACUAGCAACAUAUUUAUGUGCGUACGUACUUUGCAAGAUGGAUGGACAGGAACAGUAUAGUCGUUAGACAAUAUAACUAAGGAUGUUGUAGUACUUAAUUAGUUAAGCUUCUUUUAGCGGAGAAUAUACUGGUCAUCACAGAGUAGUAUCAACUAUAAAGUCGCACACACAGCUAGUGAUCUAUGUGGUUGUUCUACUGAAUUGACAUACUAUUGCAAUUUGCACUAACAUACUAAACGUAAAUGUGAUUGAAUGUUUUUCAUGGAUUGAUGAACUUUCUCAUUGAGUCCUUAUUCAUUGAACUCUUUUGUGUAUAAUUAGAACAUACAAGUGUUCUAAGAACUUUGUAUCUUGAAAUCUGGAAUUUAUUAUAAUGCAAACUAUAUUUUGUGAAUUGCAACCUUUUGGUUUGCAAAAAAAGUGUGUGUUUGCAUUUGUACUGCAAUUACCUUACAUGUAUGAACUGCAGGUAUUUUGUGAAAAUGGAGGAAUUUAUUACAUAUUUAUAGCUUUGCGUAUGGAAACUGGAAGUUCAAGAUUGGCAAUAGAUUCAGUUCUUUUGUACAAAUGUCCUAUAGUUCAGUGACAUCUCCAAUUGAUAUAGUUGUCUUGAAUCUCCAGUCGAUUGUUGCUCAGCUUCCUCGCAAUUUACUCAAUCUCGUUCUGCUCCAAAGCAUGCUUCAGUUCAACAAAAAGCUCCAGAAAAGUUCAGAGUUCACAGGAGUCACUUCAGGUUGGCUCUUUUUUAUUCGCCAGUUUGGGAUAAAGUAAGGAGAGGUGGAGUUCAACAAUACAGAAAGGUGAUGGUUUCGACUGGGGCUUCCGUGACGAUCCGCUGGUGGUGGCCGCCUCCAGGUGCACCAUCAUGACCGGCAGCCGUCCAAGUGGAACGCGGACAUCAGUUCAAGCAGAACUAAUUCGUAUAAACUGUCUGGUUUACCCUAAGUUUCCACCGUUUAAGUUCAGUUCAAUUUCUAAUUUAGGUUCCGUUCAUAGGAGCACUUAAAAACCAAUUAGUUUGUUUCACUUAUAUUCCAUGAACUUCUAGUACCCUAAUUGAUGUGGUAGUGACAUGAUCUCCCUCUCCGCCACUCUAGGAUCUGCAGCGUCGUCCCAGUCCGACUCCAUGGCGUACAUUAACUAGGUUACAAUAGUUGCUAUAGCAGAAACAAUACACAACUCUUUUUAGGUUUCUUUGUGAACUUAUAAUGUUUACUGUACAUGAACUUGGUUGUUCUUUUUACAUGAACUUGUACAUUGCCUUGCCAGGUUGUGCGUGUACUACCCAUAGGAGCACUUGAGAAAUUAAGUUCUAUUUAAUUUCCAAUUUAAAUUUAGUUCAUAGGAGCACUUGGAAAUUGGUUAGUUUGUUUUACUUAUAUUCCAUGAACUUCUAAUACCAUUGAUUUGGUAGUGACAUGAGCUCCUUCUCCACCACUCUAGAAAUGUGCGACGGUUUAGCAAAAAAUGGUGUAUCAUCAGUUCAGAUUCAAAAAGACCAAAACUUCAGAGGAAGAAAAAUUCAACGAAGAAAAAACCCAAGGUGGCUUGCGAAGAAACCUGGGAAAACUAAGGCUUUGUUUUGUUUCUGCUCUCAUUUAUUCUAUGCUUUAGCAUUUGGUCGAUGAUAUUUAUUGCAUCCUUCAUCACUGAUCUUGGGAAGGAGAUUCAUUCGUGCAUGUCUAGUAUAAAUCUAUUGAUUUUUAUUGGUUUAGGGAUUUCAGGAGAGUGGAGACCUGGAAGAGCACUUUCAGGCGUUGUUGGCCAUGACAAUAAAUGACUAGCAAGAGCACUUUAAACAGUCCAGGAAGACAACAACAACAACAACAACAACAACAACGAUAAAAAUGCAACGAUGCACUAUGCUGACAUUGGCGAAAAGCUAUGAUUUUGUGCUCCUGUUUGUUGUUAUGUCAAUGAGAAACCAAUACUUCUUUUCUUUGGCUUUUGUGUUUGGAUCGGUGAGGGAUAAACAUUUUUUUCCUAUUCAAGUGGAAGCUCCCAGUAUAUGAUGGAUGUGGGGGUUAUUUUUACAUUGGGAGAGAGAAACAAGUAUACUGCCUCCCGGCUCAUGCUUCACAGGCAUAUAUAGGACAUGAUGAUGCAUGACUCCAUUUGGGAUUUCAGUUUAGUUUCACCUUUGGUAAUUAUUAUUUGAGUUGAUC